rnacentral:rRNA from 1 species
CCUACGGGAGGCAGCAGUGAGGAAUAUUGGUCAAUGGCCGAGAGGCUGAACCAGCCAAGUCGCGUGAGGGAAGACGGCCCUACGGGUUGUAAACCUCUUUUGUCGGGGAGCAAAGCGAGUCACGUGUGACUCAUUGAGAGUACCCGAAGAAAAAGCAUCGGCUAACUCCGUGCCAGCCGCCGCGGUAAUACGGAGGAUGCGAGCGUUAUCCGGAUUUAUUGGGUUUAAAGGGUGCGCAGGCGGAGGUGCAAGUCAGCGGUCAAAUUGCGGGGCUCAACCCCGUACUGCGGUUGAAACUGCAUCCCUAGAGUGCGCGAGAAGUAUGUAGAAUGCGUGGUGUAGCGGUGAAAUGCAUAGAUAUCACGCAGAACUCCGAGUGCGAAGGCAGCAUACCGGCGCGCAACUGACGCUCAUGUACGAAAGCGUGGGUAUCGAACAGGAUUAGAUACCCCUGUAGUC